rnacentral:tRNA from 1 species
AAAAAUUUAGUUAAAUAUAUAACAUUAGCUUGUCAAGCUAAAAUUAUUAUAAUAGUAAUUUUUU